UUCGGAGGAGCACCUCCAGUGCCCUCCCUCCCUCCCUCUCCCGGGCCCUGCCUCCUAACAGCCCACCCGGCUGGAAUUGACCCAGUGAUGAGGUCAGCACCCCGAGAUCCACAGUCACCUCCCCAGGCCUCACCACUGAUCACCGCUGCUUUGGGGUUCAAGCCCUCAAUCCAUGAGUCCCUGGGUGACAUUUUAUAUGUAAACCACAAUACACCGCAAAGGCUCCCGCUGAAAAUCCCAUUCACCAUGCCACUUUGGGAAUUGAGUUUCUAACACAGGAAAUGGGGCAGGGAACCUCCAAAGCACAGAACCUGUGUUUCCCCCGUGGUGACUGUGAACGAGAUGGGAUGUCAUUCACACCCCUGCACCCCAGGCCACACACCAGCUGGCCCUUGGGCCUUGAGCCUUUUACCAGAUGUUCCUCUUUCCCCAUGCUGGGGCUCCCUGGUCUUUUCCAGGGGGGGAGAAUGCAGGGCCCAAUCUCAGCGAUGUGGGUGACCCCUCAGCCACUGCUGUCCCCCAGGUGCAGGGGUCUGCAGGGCCUUGGGGGAUUCUGAGUACGUGGGCUUCCAUGGCAGUAGCCACCCUGUCCAGGACGCCUGCCCUCACGUCCUGGUGAAGGUGUGUCACCCCAACACGGAGCUGCCUGUCUUCAAGAUAAGCGCCAGGAGCGAGCAGCAGCACCAGGGCAGAACCGGAGCCUUCAAGCUCCGCCAGGUCUACAUCAACGUCACCGAUGUCCAGGUCCCUCUACAAGAAGGCCAGCAAGUGCUGAUCAAUGGCACACCUGUCACCCUUCCCGCCACCUCCCGGAUCACAGGGCUCAGCAUCGCUUCCCGCGGCAUCUACACCAUUGGUCUCCCUGCAGACUGGAGUGCAAGUCAAGUUUGCGGGCCCGCAUUUCUUAGAGCUCAAAGUCCCUGCGGCUUACGGCUUACGAUGGGAAGGUCUGCGGCGUGUGUGGGAACUUCCACGGCGAGUUGGAAGAUGAGCUGGUGAUGCCCCGAGACGAACCGGCCCAGAGCGAGCACGAGUUCAUAGACAGCUGGAGAGACAAGGACAUUCACUCAGAGUAACAGUGCCCCACCUCCUCCUGGGGGUGACACCGGGAGCGGGGAAGCCAGACAGCAGGGCACAUCUGGGGCAGGGAGAGCAGGGGUCCCUUCAGGGCCGUGGUUUGAGGAAGGAGGCUUCUGGGCCUCAGGCUGGUGGAAC